rnacentral:rRNA from 1 species
CCUACGGGUGGCGUUCCGAGAGUACCCGAAGAAAAAGCAUCGGCUAAAGCCGGGCCAGCAGCCGAGGUAAGACGGAGGAUGCGAGCGUUAUCCGGAUUUAUUGGGUUUAAAGGGUGCGCAGGCGGAAGAUCAAGUCAGCGGUAAAAUUGAGAGGCUCAACCUCUUCGAGCCGUUGAAACUGGUUUUCUUGAGUGAGUGAGAAGUAUGCGGAAUGCGUGGUGUAGCGGUGAAAUGCAUAGAUAUCACGCAGAACUCCGAUUGCGAAGGUAGCAUACCGGCGCUCAACUGACGCUCAUGCACGAAAGUGUGGGUAUCGAACAGGAUUAGAUACCCUUGUAGUC